rnacentral:lncRNA from 1 species
CCUGUCUCUACUAAAAAUACAAAAUUAGCCGGUCGUAGUGGCGCUUGCCUGUAAUCCCAGCUAUGUGGGAGGCUGAGGCAGGAGAAUUGCUUGAACCCAGGAGGCAGAGGUUGCAGUGAGCUGAGAUCGAGCCACUGCACUCCAGCCUGGGUAAGAGCAAGACUCUGUCUCCAAAAACACAAAACAAAACAAAACAAAACAAAACAAAAUACAAAGGAAUGGAGUGGAGGAGGUGGCGGGGAGCAGGGGGUGGAGGGUGGGGUGGGGUUGUGGGUAGAGUGGGGCUGGGAGACUGCGAGCUCUUAGCGCCAGAGGAGGACUGAGAUUUCAGCCUCAGCUGCCCUACUUGCCCCCAUUCCCUUCUGAGCUGCACUUUCCUGGCCUCUGAAAUAAGAGUUCAUUUGUUCAAAAACAUAAAAAAAAAAAAAAACUGCCUUCAGUAUCUUGGCUCUGCCACUUCCUGGCUGUGUGGCCUUAAGCAAGUGACUUAACCUCUCUGGGCAUCAAUUUUUUUCAUUGUAAAGUGGGGAUAACCAAUAGAUCCUGCAUUUUUUUUUUUUUUUUUUUAGAUGGAGUCUCUCUGUCGCCCAGGCUGGAGUGCAGUGGCGCAAUCUCGGCUCACUGCAAGCUCCAUCUCCCGGGUUCACGCCGUUCUC